CUAAGUCGGAUAAAAAAGCACAAAAAUGGCUCCCAUGUAAUCAUCAAAGUAUGCUAAGUUCAGAGUGUUUUAGUAUCACAUAUGCUUUUCUAAAUAUUUUCUCCUUUAAUAAAGAGUUGAGCCAUUAGUCAUUAGGCACUGUUUUUUUUUUUUUUUUUUUUUUUUUUUUUAAUUUUUCUGUUGACAGAGGUCUUGCUCUGUUGCCCAAGGUGGAUUGCAGAGGCCUAAUCAUGGCUCACAGCAGUGUCUACCUCCCGGGCUUGAGCAAUCCUCCCACCUCAUCCUCCUGAGUAACUAGGACUUCAGGCCUGUGCCACCAUGCCUGGUUAAUUUUUUAAACUUUUGGUAGAGACAAGGUCUCCCUAUAUUUCCCAGGCUAGUCUCAAGCUCCUGAACUCAAGUAAUCCUCUUGCCUUGGUCUCCCAAGGUGCUGAGAUUACAGCUGUGGGCCACUGUGCCCACCCAGCACUGGCUUUUAAUAAGUGUCACUGAAGAGUAAGUCAGUAAGAAACAACCUUUAUCUCCAGGUGGUAGUAACUGAAAAUGAAAGUAACAGAAAGUGAGAACAUGGGGUGUGAUUGUUGCAGUAUGUAUUUUGCUGGUUUUUAUUAGUUUUGGGCCUCAAUUUGGACCUUUUGUACUAGAAUCUAAAGAUGAAGUUUCCCUGAUGGCAAAAUUACAAUCUGUCACUCACUAAUGUCAUUUCUUCCAUGAGUCACAUCCAUCCUGAAGGAAAGUGCUUGAACUAGGAACAUAUGCCUUUAUUACAUGUAGGGGCAAAGACUGUAAUCCUAUUAUUUACUUCACCCCCAUCUAAUACCUCUUAGUAAUAGGGAUAUUUAUUAUUAUUUAAACCAGAAGUUCACUUUAUUGUAUCCAUGUAAGUCUGUCUAGUCAGAUUGGAGUAAACUGAAUUCACUGCCUUGAAAUCUUCUGGCCAACUCAAGAUACAGUUGAAUUAAUUGAAUACAGCCAUGCACCGGUCAUAAUGGUAUUUUGGUCAAGGAUGGAUUGCAUGUACAACAGUGGUAUUAUAAGGGCAACUUCGUGUCCGGCAAGCCGCAUUCAUGGUAAGUGCCCUGUCCAGGUGUGCCAUUUUUUAUCUUUUCUACCAUAUUUUUACUGUUCAUUUUCCAUGUUUAGGUAUGUUUAGAUACAUAAGUACUUACUAUUGUGUUCCAAUUGCUCACAGUAUUUAGUAGAGGAACCUGCUGUGCAGAUUUGUAGCCUGGGAGUAAUAGGCUAUACCAUAUACUAGGUGUGUAGCAGGCUUGUGUAAGUACACUCUGUGUAGUUUGCACAAUGACAAAAUUGUCUGAGGACACUUUUCUCAGAGCAUAUCCUCAUCAUUAAGCGACGCAUGAUUAUACUUGAGUUGUAGAAUGCUGAUUACAUCAUUUGCCUUGAUCUUAAAAGCUCACUGAAACUUCCUAUUCUUUCAGGAGUUAUAUCCAUUUUUUUUCAAUCAAAACAUGAAAUACUCCAUCAGUCUGUCUCCGAAUUAACUAUAUUGUCUGCUCUGUUUCCUUAAAAUGAACAUAUUUUCAACUCACUGCUUCAGCCAGCCUUAGUCUUUGCUUAAGCAAUUUUUUUCCCAAUCUCUAUUCCAAUUGUAGCCAUAUUUCUUUUCAAGUCUUUCAUUAGGAGACAUUUUUUCCUUAGAAUUAAUCACAUUAUUUCCUAUUUCUGCCUCAGUGUUUAAAAACUUACUAUCUACAGAGUUUAUUGUACUUCACUGUGUAUAACUAAAUUAUAGCUAUAGCAUUUUAAUCCACUCACACCUACUAUAACACCUUAAGAAAUUGAACUUUUGGGCCGGGUGCAGUGGUGGUUCACACCUGUAAUCACAGCACUUUGGGAGGCUGAGGCGGGCGAACCACCUGAGGUCAGGAGUUCGAGACCAGCCUGGCCAACGUGGUGAAACCCCAUCUCUACUAAAAAUACAAAAAUUAGCCAGACAUGGUGGCAGGUGCCUGUAAUCCCAGCUACUCAGGAGGCUGAGGCAGGAGAAUCACUUGAACCCAAGAGGUGGAGGUUGCAGUGAGCUGAGAUUGCACCACUGCACUCCAGCCUGGGUGACAAGAGCGAAACUCCAUCUCUCAAAGAAAAAAAUAAAUAAACUUCUAGUGUGUAACAGGGAGUUAUUGAGAAAUUCAAAUAGGCAAUGAUGUUUGAGGUUUUUGAAAUGUGAGUGUAGAAGCGGUAUAGUGUUUGGAUUGGAGGAGGGAUAGACUGGACUCGUGGAGGCCAGUUAGCACAGGACUGAAAUAGUAUUGUCAAGAAAUGAUUAUCCCUGAAUUACAGAAAUAGCAGUAGGAGUUGAAAAAUACUGACAACAUUUGGGACAUGUUCAAAACAUUAAAUAUUUUUCUCUAUUAUUCUAGCAGGCUAGAAAACAUGACAAGUGAAAAUUUCCCCUCUAGAGUCCCUUUUCGUCACCUCUACUCUACUAUUGCUGGUUUCACAUACAUCUUAUAGAUUGAGGGAGUCAGGCUGGGUGGGGAGACUGGUUUCUUUUCUGGCUUUCUAAUUCUGCUGUAUAUCCUGCAAUGGCUUAAUUUCUGGUUGCUGGCUUCACAUUGAACAAAGUCCCUGUGACUAGGCCAUUUUCUGGGCGCAGAAAGACAAAAAGGAACUUGGUUCUUCUCCCUAGACUCAGCACUGCAACAUCCUUGAUGACAUCUAUCUAAUGGCCUUAUUUUUUCAACCUUGUUUUUUAUGACCAAGCUUCAGUUGCUAGACACAUUUAAGACUUGUAGGAACAGAAUUUGUCUUCUUGCUUCCAGGAAAACAGGUGCCUGUAAUCCCAGCUACUCGGGAGGCUGAGGCAGGAGAAUCACUUGAACCCAAGAGGUAGAGGUUUUCCUCUCCUGGUUUCUUCAAGACUUUAUUUCUAUUUCAAUUCCAACACCCUGUGCACUGGAACUCUACUGCUGAACAAUAAUGCCUGUGCUGUUCUCCAGACACAGGCCCUUAUUUUUGCAUUUCACAGUAACUCUUCCAUGAUAAUUGCAAGGUCAGAUUUUCUGGUCAUUAUCUGCUACUGACUUGUAUUUAUUUCUUCACUUGUGUGUUCAAAUAUGUUCAGUUAUCAAAAACCUAUUUUGUAUAAAUUACUCCACUGGCAUCAAGGAAAGCAUGCAUAGAAAUAAAAAAAAUUCCCUGCCCUCAGUAAACUUACACACUAGAAGAGUUGACUGAAAGUUGGUUUCACUGCCUUUCCAUUCUGACCUGUGAGAGAUUACCAUACAUUCUUCACUCUAAGUUCUUCUAUGAAAAAAUUACAUACACAAUACAUAAAAUGGAAUUUUUUACAUAACAAUGGAAAUAGAGAAAGUAGAAUAAAAAAGUAGAAGCUUUCUCCACUCCCAGAUACAUAUACAAACAUACCUGUUCUUUGUAGAAAGAACCAUCAUGAAGAAUUUCAUAUGUCCCCCUACACUACUUUUUAUUUGGCUUGAAAAAGUAUAUAUUUAUGUAUAUUAAAGCAUAUACAUUUUUAUACAUAAAUUUAUAUUACUAUAGAGCAAUUCUACUUAAAGCAUGCUUUCAGAUUUAAAUGAAUCUUGGUUCUAGAUACCUUCUCUUACUUAGAUUUUGCAAUAUUUUAAAGAUAAUCAAAUAAGGCAGUGCCACCUAAUUUCUAAAAAGCUAAUACCAGUUCUAAAUUAUGUGCGAACACUAUUCUAAUAUAAAAUACACAUUAAGCCAAACUCAAAAACUCUACCUCUUAAAUUAUGAAUGUGUGAUGCUGGUUAACCAGAUGGUUUUUCCAUUGAUUUGAACUCAAAGAAAUUAUCUAUGUAAAGUGGCUUAAAA
ensembl:lncRNA